rnacentral:rRNA from 1 species
GGGUUGUGAGGUUAAGCGACUAAGCGUACACGGUGGAUGCCCUGGCAGUCAGAGGCGAUGAAGGACGUGCUAAUCUGCGAUAAGCGCCGGUAAGGUGAUAUGAACCGUUAUAACCGGCGAUUUCCGAAUGGGGAAACCCAGUGUGAUUCGUCACACUAUCAUUAACUGAAUCCAUAGGUUAAUGAGGCGAACCGGGGGAACUGAAACAUCUAAGUACCCCGAGGAAAAGAAAUCAACCGAGAUUCCCCCAGUAGCGGCGAGCGAACGGGGAGGAGCCCAGAGCCUGAAUCAGCAUGUGUGUUAGUGGAAGCGUCUGGAAAGGCGCGCGAUACAGGGUGACAGCCCCGUACACAAAAGCGCAUGUGCUGUGAGCUCGAUGAGUAGGGCGGGACACGUGGUAUCCUGUCUGAAUAUGGGGGGACCAUCCUCCAAGGCUAAAUACUCCUGACUGACCGAUAGUGAACCAGUACCGUGAGGGAAAGGCGAAAAGAACCCCGGCGAGGGGAGUGAAAAAGAACCUGAAACCGUGUACGUACAAGCAGUGGGAGCACCCUUCGGGGUGUGACUGCGUACCUUUUGUAUAAUGGGUCAGCGACUUAUAUUCUGUAGCAAGGUUAACCGUAUAGGGGAGCCGGAGGGAAACCGAGUCUUAAUUGGGCGUUAAGUUGCAGGGUAUAGACCCGAAACCCGGUGAUCUAGCCAUGGGCAGGUUGAAGGUUGGGUAACACUAACUGGAGGACCGAACCGACUAAUGUUGAAAAAUUAGCGGAUGACCUGUGGCUGGGGGUGAAAGGCCAAUCAAACCGGGAGAUAGCUGGUUCUCCCCGAAAGCUAUUUAGGUAGCGCCUCGUGAAUUCAUCUCCGGGGGUAGAGCACUGUUUCGGCUAGGGGGCCAUCCCGGCUUACCAACCCGAUGCAAACUGCGAAUACCGGAGAAUGUUAUCACGGGAGACACACGGCGGGUGCUAACGUCCGUCGUGAAGAGGGAAACAACCCAGACCGCCAGCUAAGGUCCCAAAGUCAUGGUUAAGUGGGAAACGAUGUGGGAAGGCCCAGACAGCCAGGAUGUUGGCUUAGAAGCAGCCAUCAUUUAAAGAAAGCGUAAUAGCUCACUGGUCGAGUCGGCCUGCGCGGAAGAUGUAACGGGGCUAAACCAUGCACCGAAGCUGCGGCAGCGAACGUAUCACCCAAGACAACUUUACGGAGUUGACGAUUGACGGAGCGAAGCGACGUCAAAGCGUUCAUUAAAGUCGAGUUGGCUUAGGGAUACGUUCGUUGGGUAGGGGAGCGUUCUGUAAGCCUGUGAAGGUGUGUCGUGAGGCAUGCUGGAGGUAUCAGAAGUGCGAAUGCUGACAUAAGUAACGAUAAAGCGGGUGAAAAGCCCGCUCGCCGGAAGACCAAGGGUUCCUGUCCAACGUUAAUCGGGGCAGGGUGAGUCGACCCCUAAGGCGAGGCCGAAAGGCGUAGUCGAUGGGAAACGGGUUAAUAUUCCCGUACUUGGUGUUACUGCGAAGGGGGGACGGAGAAGGCUAUGUUGGCCGGGCGACGGUUGUCCCGGUUUAAGCGUGUAGGUGUGUGUUCCAGGUAAAUCCGGUUCACUUUAACACUGAGGCGUGACGACGAGGCACUACGGUGCUGAAGCAACAAAUGCCCUGCUUCCAGGAAAA